UGAACGUGUGUUGGUGAACGAUGGUUAGGUCCUCCCAGCAGCUUCUUUGAUGCACCACUGAUACCAACCCAGGCAAUGGAUCAUGUAAUUAUCCCUCGGCCUCGGUGCAGGUGCCUUCUAAUUAAAGCGACAAGCGUGCGUGAACGCUCCUUCCCCCAUUCAGUUUCUGGGUCACCGCGAUGCCCUUAGCGCAAGCAGACACACUGGACUAGACCGGCGCAAUGCAAUAAAUCGGAUCACUGUUCCAAUUUGCCGUGUACCGUCAACCGGUUUCCCUCCUCUCCCCUUUGGGUGGAAAUCGCUCGUUAUCACGUGAGUUCUCCAGCUCGAUCCCAAGAGCGCGCGCGCUCGGUUUAAGUAGUAGCCGCAGAGAGUUGCCCGCGCGCACGCCCAAAGAACGAUCGAACCGUUUGCUGUAAUCAGGAGGAAAUUAAUUGGUUUUAAAUUAGUCGCGCGUUAUAAAGCUUCUCCUUCUCUGAAGGGCGCACGAUCGAACGAGCUCGAUCGAGGCGCCACAGGGAGUGUGUGUGAAAGUUGCGCUAUUAAAAGAAACAGCUUUGCGCUAUGCAAGUGUUUGGUAUGGUGUGGUGCCUCUUUAACACUUGUUGGCACGAAAAGCUCCCUUUUAGUGGAUGGGGCGGUUGGUCUACUACCUCAAAAAAAUAAACAUUUAUUCUCCCGGUGUGGUCAGCAA